CACGUAGGGGGCAAGCGUUGUCCGGAUUUAUUGGGCGUAAAGAGCUCGUAGGUGGUUCGGUAAGUCGGGUGUGAAACCUCCAGGCUCAACCUGGAGACGCCACCCGAUACUGCUGUGACUGGAGUCCGGUAGGGGAGCGUGGAAUUCCUGGUGUAGCGGUGAAAUGCGCAGAUAUCAGGAGGAACGCCAGCGGCGAAGGCGGUUCUCUGGGACGGUACUGACGCUGAGACGCGAAAGCGUGGGGAGCGAACAGG
rnacentral:rRNA from 1 species